UGCAGCACUUGACUAUUAAAACUGUUAAUGUAGUACCUUGACUAUGCAAUUUUUAUCAAUUUUGGUCACGCCGGCCAAAUUAAUGGCGAAUUUCCACCGGAAAAAUGUUAGUCAAACAUUUCUCCGAUUUGGCAGGGGCAAAUAAGACAUUUCAUGUUGCUAAUAUGGUUGGUCUGUCCGGGUUGUUGACCAUGAAGCUACCCGACCCGAAUUAAUUGGAAUAUAACCGCUCAACAUCAAUUGACUUCACAUAAAUUAACUGAACCAAAAAAAAAAAAAAAAUUAGGAACUAAGAAUUCACCAGUCAAAACAAUACCUUUAACAUCGUUUCUCCUGGCAGCCUCCGUGAACUUCUCCUUGAAGCCAUGAAUUACUACAACACAAUCAAAUUUCACAGUUUAGUUUCAUCUAUCCAAAUCCAGCGCAUACGCACACUCGCCAGCAACGGAGCGACGAUGGUCGAGACCUGCUACGGGUGGCGACCAAAAGCGAGAUUUUCUUCUUUACACGGUCGUCGGUCGAGUCCGGCUAACGGAGAUUGAAACCGGAAAAAUUAAACUACGAAUCAUCAUGAUGUUCUUCAAUGGCACGAGCUUCAGAUUUAAUUUCAAUUCAGCAAGGGUCAGAUUACCGGAAAGGCCUAAGCAUCUUCAAUUCAGCAAUGGAAGCUAGACGAAGGAGAUAUAUAAGACUCUGUAUGUUCUUCCACCAGAUCAGAUAGAAGAACACCAACGUGAUUGGUCUUCAGAUCUGAAUAAGGCAGUCGGCGAUGACGGUGACAAAACGGAAAAUUUUAUAGUUAAUCAAAGCAUAGGAGAGGAGUAAAAAGCAGAUCAGAGCUGCCUAGACAGAUCGUUUUGAAUUG